rnacentral:misc_RNA from 1 species
AAGUCGUAACAAGGUUUCCGUAGGUGAACCUGCGGAAGGAUCAUUAACGAGUUUACUGAGUUGUCGCUGCCCUUUCGGGGGAUGUGCACACUCUUUUCACUCAUCUAUACACCUGUGAACCUAUGCGAAUUCAAUGGGGGAUUAGCGAAAGGAGGACCGAAAGGUCGUUUCGAUUAGCGUUCUCUGUCGAGUUCGAUUUUUUAUAAACUCUUGUAUGUCUUAGAAUGUCUACUUUGCUUAACGCAAUAAAUACAACUUUCAACAACGGAUCUCUUGGCUCUC